CUUGGAUCAGUGACAAGUGGCAAUCGGUGGAGGUUGGACCUGUACCUUUCAUACAAAUAGAAAGCCUCAGAUUUUCUAGGGUUAAUAGUUGGUAUUCCGAGGGUUUUUCUUGGCUGCGUGCCUUUCAUCUUCUCCCUUCUAAUCUUGUGAUUUCUUUGAAAAUACUUAGUGUGAUUUUUGGGAGAAUUGGUAGAGAAACUCGUGUGAAUUCUGCUGUGGAAAGAUUGUGUUGUAUUUGUGAUUUAGGAACUCAGUGUUCUAUAACUUGAUCUUUGUCUAUUUUGGUCGAUUUUAGUGAAUUUGAGCUUAAUCCUUUAUGGAUGCUCAACGGGGGACUAAGCGUUAGAAGCGGUCGCUGAACCUCCAGGGCCUUUAGUAGAAAAAUCUCUCAUGUUCUUAUUUUCUGUUUUUUUUUUCUGAGAAAAUUGUGAUAUAUUUGCGUUGAGUAUUUUUGGCAUAAAUUCAAUCCUGGAACUACACACACUCAUGCCAAAUCGGUAUGACACAAAUCAUUAGCACCAUAGUCCUCAAACCAACGGUCAGGUCAAGCAAACUCUCAGUGUAAAGUAUAUGGAGAGAGUGUGGGAGAAAGAGGAAAAAAAAAAAAUUUAGCCAGAGUUUUGAUGACAAUAAGAAAUCGUACAUUUACCUUUACCCAUGCACCUGUAUUUAUGGGAGAAGGAUUCUAGUGUGGCAAGACACUAUCUGAUCGGAA
rnacentral:lncRNA from 1 species